AACCAUUCUCACCUGCGGCUAGACCUGCGGAAGGAUCAUUACACAAUAAACAUAUGAAGGCUGCACCGCCAACAGGCGGCAAGGCUGGAGUAUUUUAUUACCCUUGUCUUUUGCGCACUUGUUGUUUCCUGGGCGGGUUCGCCCGCCUCCAGGACCACAUGAUAAACCUUUUUUAUGCAGUUGCAAUCAGCGUCAGUACAACAAAUGUAAAUCAUUUACAACUUUCAACAACGGAUCUCA
rnacentral:misc_RNA from 1 species